GUAACUUCCUUUGGGUGUCUAGCUCAUUUAAUUUUAAUUUCUACUUUCCAGGAUUUUUAUCACAUUGAUGCAGAUACCAUUUAUCAAGGCCUAAUAUCUCUAAAAUGAAGUGAAGAGCGAGAUGAGGUUCUUUUGUGAUCCUGUCCCUUCCAAGUCAAUUGUCAUUUACUGUGUUAUCACACUGACCUGAGGACACCCUGUUUAAGUUGUGAGAUGAUAAAUUGUACCAUUUUAAUGAAAAUUAUUUAACUGAGUCAGGCAAGAGGAAAACCAUAUUGUUUAAAGUGCAUUCAUGAUUUGUCCUUAACCAGUCUCAUAAAGGAAGAAUUUCAGAUAAUUUUCAGUAUGAUGUUCCAAAUUUUCAUUUUUGGUCAAAGAAAAAUAACUGGAAACAAUAUGAAUUGGGCAUAUUAACAUUUCAGAGAUUGGUCUUAUGACUCUGAAGUUCUUUUUUUUUUUCUAAUAUGAGCUCUGCUACAUACGAGGCUUUGAUCAGUUCUUAUAUGAAUAAGUAAUGUUGCUUUCUGAAUUAAGAUGAAAAUAUGCCUAGGAAAAUCCUUAUAGGACAGUAGGCACUAAGUAAAUCUAAAAUUCCCAGUGUUCUAUCUUCUAUACAUGCUUCCAGUCCAAACAUUGUAUUCUUCAAUUUAAAUUUUAUUUAAUUAAAUAUAAUUACACAAUCUCUGCCCUCUGUCUCUUGGCUCUAGCCCAUCAUAUAUCUCCUGGAAUCCCUCUCAAAUAUAUAGUCCCUUAUCAUUUAUAAACUUACAAUUAAAAGAAACAUUUAUAGUAGGGUCACUUUUGUCUACGCCUGGUAACACUGUCCCCUUAUUGUAUCACUGUAGAGAACUUUGUGACACAUUAUCUCCACUAUCAAAUGGUACUGAGAUUACAAAUAUUUGAUAUCAAAUUAUCUAAGUAUCACAGCCACAUUUCAAUGUACCUAAUAAACCAAAUGUAACCAGAGUUUGAUUUUAGACAGUCUUGGGGAAUAUACACAGUAUAUUCUACAUGCUAUAAUAGAUGCUACUCUAUAAUUUAUCCAGUGCUACCUACCCUCCAGAGUUAUCUGUCUAAAGAAGCAGGCCUUGCUCUCUUUAUGCCAAGCUGUCACUGUAGCUGUUGUCAUCUUUAAUCAUAGCUGACUCGUUCCAUAGGAAAUUCAAGGCAUGGAUUUUGAGUUCUUGAGUUGAACACAUGUUUAUGCAGAGGAAUGCUAUUUAAUUCACAGGCUGUAAUACUUCUUGCAAGGAAUCUACACCUUUGGUGAAAAGUGUUUCAUUUUUACCUGUUGGCAGCCUGAUGACACAAAGUACUUGCUCAUAAUACCACACUCCCCUGCCUGUGAAUUGUCACUCGGCUCAGGAAAUUGUUAGUAGAAAUGUCCAUUCUUGAAGUGUAAAUAGACAACUAUGCAAAGCCAAUUGCAAAAGAUAUUGUGUUGGUUUUUGUCCUGCAUAUGAUAGACUGAAUUUAAAAAUAUUUAUUUUUUAAAAACUUCAUUUCCUUUAUGAAAGGGUUUUUUUGGUUGGUUGGUUGGUUGGUUUUUGGGCUUUUUUGUUGUUGUUUUGGGGGUUUUGUUUUUGUUUGUUUGUUUGUUUGUUUGUUUUGUUUUGUUUUUCCUUCAGGGAAUGCUCCUUAUGCUGCUUAAUAACUCCCCUUCCCAGAGUAAUUAUUUGGGUUAAACCUAAUUCAAGUCAAACUUUCUUAGAAACACCUGGAAAUU
rnacentral:lncRNA from 1 species